UACGGAGGGUGUGAGCGUUGUCCGGAAUCACUGGGCGUAAAGGGCGCGUAGGCGGCUUGGGAAGUCUGUGGUGAAAGCUCGUGGCUCAACUGCGAGUCGGCCAUAGAUACUCCUAAGCUCGAGUCGACUAGAGGCAGAUGGAAUUCCGGGUGUAGCGGUGGAAUGCGUAGAGAUCCGGAAGAACACCGGUGGCGAAGGCGGUCUGCUGGGGUCGAACUGACGCUGAGGCGCGACAGCGUGGGGAGCAAACAGG
rnacentral:rRNA from 1 species